rnacentral:rRNA from 1 species
UACAGAGGGUGCAAGCGUUGUUCGGAAUUAUUGGGCGUAAAGCGCGUGUAGGCGGCUCGGAAAGUCGGAUGUGAAGCCCUGGGCUUAACCUAGGAAGUGCAUUCGAAACUCCCGAGCUUGAGUUCUGGAGAGGAAGGCGGAAUCUCGGUGUAGAGGUGAAAUUCGUAGAUAUCGAGAGGAACGACCGGUGGCGAAGGCGGCCUUC